UACGGGGGGAGCAAGCGUUGUUCGGAUUUACUGGGCGUAAAGGAUGCGUAGGCGGACAUUUAAGUCAGAUGUGAAAUACCCGAGCUUAACUUGGGUGCUGCAUUUGAAACUGGGUGUCUAGAGUGCAGGAGAGGUAAGUGGAAUUCCUAGUGUAGCGGUGAAAUGCGUAGAGAUUAGGAAGAACACCAGUGGCGAAGGCGACUUACUGGACUGUAACUGACGCUGAGGCAUGAAAGCGUGGGGAGCAAACAGG
rnacentral:rRNA from 1 species